UCUAUUGAAGAAUGUUGCGAUGUUCUAUUGAAGAAUGUUGUGAUGUUCUAUUGAAGAAUGUUGUGAUGCUCUAUUGAAGAAUGUUGCGAUGUUCUAUUGAAGAAUGUUGUGAUGUUCUAUUGAAGAAUGUUGUGAUGCUCUAUUGAAGAAUGUUGUGAUGUUCUAUUGAAGAAUGUUGUGAUGAUCUAUUGAAGAAUGUUGUGAUGCUCUAUUGAAGAAUGUUGUGAUGCUCUGUUGAAGAAUGUUGUGAUGUUCUAUUGAAGAAUGUUGCGAUGUUCUAUUGAAGAAUGUUAUUGUUCUGAAAGAAUGUCAUCAUGAACCCUGUUUAUAGCUGAUGCUAACCUGUGUCCUGGUCUCGUCCACAUUUCUAGACCAUUAGAAGAUUAGUGUUCAGCACUUUCUGACCGCCUCCGCAGGUUGUUCCGAGGGCAGCUCCGACCUCCAGGGAACUGGCAGAACAAAGCCAUUGGUUGGAUGAAAACUCAGUGACAUGUCAGUGGGCGGGGUUUACAGGGGAGAGUCAAAUAAGAAAAGGCCUCAUUUACAACUGCGACCUGACCAAGAUAAAGCAAAGCAGUGCAACACAAACAACAACACAGAGUUAAACAUGGAGUAAACAAACGUGCAGUCAAUAACACAAUAGAAAAAUCUGUAUACAGUGUGUGGAAAUGAGGUAAGGGCAAAAAAAUUUAUUUCGUUCCAGUCAUUGGCAGCAGAGAACUGGAAGGAAAGGCGGCCAAAGGAGGAAUUGGCUUUGGGGGUGACUAGUGAGAUAUACCUGCUGGGAAGCGUGCUACGGGUGGGUGUUGCUAUGGCGACCAGCGAGCUGAGAUAAGGCGGGGCUUUACCUAGCAAAGACUUAUAGAUGACCUGGAGCCAGUGGGUUUGGCGUUGAAUAUGAAGCGAGCGCCAGACACUGCGACCUGUAUUCAGGUCGCAGUGCUGGGUGGUAUAUGGGGCUUUGGUGACAAAACGGAUGGCACUGUGAUAGACUGCAGCCAAUUUAGAGUGUUGGAGGCUAUUUUGUAAAUUACAUUGCCAAAGUCAAGGAUCGGUAGGAUAGUCAGUUUUACGAGGGUAUGUUUGGCAGCAUGAGUGAAGGAAGCUUUGUUGCGAAGUAGGAAUCCGAUUCUAGAUUUAAUUUUGGAUUGGAGAUGCUUAAUGUGAGUCUGGAAGGAGAGUUUACAGUCUAACCAGACACCCAGGUAUUUGUAGUUGUCCACGUAUUCUAAGUCAGAACCGUCCAGGGUAGUGAUGCUGGACCGGCGGGCAGGUAUGGGCAAUGCUGUCCUCUGCUGGCCCAGUGGACAAGGCCUCUGAUGGCCCAGUAGAAUAGGGACUAGAAGGUCCCAGGUUCUAAUCUUACCGAUGGCCUUUUGUUUAUUUCAGCGUAAAGCUGAUACCUAGAGUCAAUGGUGCCCGUCCCCCUGACAAUGAUUUUAAAGUUUGAUAAUCCAGAUCUGUUUACACCCUUAACAGAAAGAUACGACCUCGGCAGCUGGUCGGAAAGAUCGGAUCACAAUCCUUCUUUAAAAAAAAAAAAUAAUAAUAAUAAUAAUAAUCGUCCACACCUGGGGAAAAUAAAUAAUGUAGGUACAAUCAGAAUGUGGAGAAGAUCAGGACACAUGUUAGCACCAGGUAUAAAACAGGCCCCGAAGAAGUUAAAGCCAAUAUCCUCAAUCAGAAUGUGGAGAAGAUCAGGACACAUGUUAGCACCAGGUAUAAAACAGGCCCUGAAGGAGUUAAAGCCAAUAUCCUCGUGUGCGUCGGUCGACACAUCAAUGACAUCAUUAUUUAACCUUGUAUUUGUACUUCAUAGUGUUAAUGGUUUGUACCAGUCCUUUGUUUCAUACAGCAGCAUGUCUCCGAUCUGAUGAUCUUUUCAAUAUUUAUACUCUUUAAGCGCCACAGGAUUAUUGACUAUUAAUAAACUGUUGACAGGAA